UGUGCAAACCUACACUCGAUGAGAUUGUUCUCAUUUUAUUAUUGGAGCCUAAACUCUUUUUCAUAUAAACUCUUUGUUUGUGAUCCAAAGAAGAGAUCCUUGAUGUAUGUGAUCCUCUAGCUUAGCCUAGAGAAGAUACUUUGUAAGCCCAUUAUUGUUGAUAGUGGAGGUUUGUGGUGGACUUAGGUCCGGUGGUUUUUUUCCCUCAUAUUGGAGGGUUUUCCACCUAAAAAUUCUUGUCUCUUUCUUGUGGUUUGAUUUUUGGUGGUUCUUACAUUGAUUAAUUAUUGUGGUAUUCUCAUUCUACUCACACAAAGAUAGGAAAGUUUUCAUCUAGUGAA
rnacentral:lncRNA from 1 species